AGGACGAACGCUGGCGGCGUGCUUAACACAUGCAAGUCGAGCGGUAAGGCCCUUUCGGGGGUACACGAGCGGCGAACGGGUGAGUAACACGUGAGCAAUCUGCCCUUCACUUCGGGAUAAGCCUCGGAAACGGGGUCUAAUACCGGAUAUGACUGUGCCAUGCAUGUGGUGUGGUGGAAAGUUCUGGCGGUGAGGGAUGAGCUCGCGGCCUAUCAGCUUGUUGGUGGGGUAAUGGCCUACCAAGGCUUCGACGGGUAGCCGGCCUGAGAGGGUGACCGGCCACACUGGGACUGAGACACGGCCCAGACUCCUACGGGAGGCAGCAGUGGGGAAUAUUGGACAAUGGGCGAAAGCCUGAUCCAGCAACGCCGCGUGAGGGAUGACGGCCUUCGGGUUGUAAACCUCUUUCAGCGCCGACGAAGCGAGAGUGACGGUAGGCGCAGAAGAAGCACGCAACACAUGCCAGCAGCCG
rnacentral:rRNA from 1 species